AGUGAACGCUGGCGGUAUGCCUAACACAUGCAAGUCGAACGGCAACACAGUAAGAUCUUGCUCUUACGGGUGGCGAGUGGCGGACGGGUGAGGAAUACAUCGGAAUCUACUUUUUCGUGGGGGAUAACGUAGGGAAACUUACGCUAAUACCGCAUACGACCUACGGGUUAAAGCAGUGGAUCUUCGGACCUUUCGCGAUUGAAUUAGCCGAUGUCGGAUUAGCUAGUUGAGGGGGUAAAGGCCCACCAAGCCGACGCUCCGUAACUGGUCUGAGAGGAUGACCAGCACCACGGGACUUGAGACAGGGCCCAGACCCCUAGGGGAGGAAGAAGAGGGGAAUAUUGGCAAAGGGGCGAAAGCCUACUGAGGAAAUACGGCGUGGGUAAAGAAGUCCUUCGAGUGGAAAAGCCUUUUUGUUGGGAAAGAAAAGUAGCAGGUUAACAACGCGCUGUUCUAACGGAACCAAAAGAAUAAGCACCGGUUAACUUCGU
rnacentral:rRNA from 1 species